AAUCAACGCUGGCGGCGUGCCUAACACAUGCAAGUCGAACGAGAAAGUGGUAGCAAUACCAUGAGUAAAGCGGCGCACGGGUGAGUAACACGUGACUAACCUACCCUGGAGUGGGGGAUAACUGAGGGAAACCUUAGCUAAUACCGCAUAACACCUACGGGUCAAAGGAGUAAUUCGCUUUGGGAGGGGGUCGCGGCCGAUUAGCUAGUUGGCGGGGUAAUGGCCCACCAAGGCAGUGAUCGGUAUCCGGCCUGAGAGGGCGCACGGACACAUUGGAACUGAAACACGGUCCAAACUCCUACGGGAGGCAGCAGUGGGGAAUUUUGCGCAAUGG
rnacentral:rRNA from 1 species